GCCAUUUAUUGAUUACAUAUAGGCUAUUAAAGAAAUGUUUAUUAAAUACUUAGGCAUUUAUUGAGUCACUAAAAUAGUGCAGUCAUGCAGGAGGCCGGCGACAGAGGCGGGACCAUUCCGGUGAUCGGAUAGGAGGCCGGUGGCAGAGGCAGGACCUCUCCGGCGAUCAGGCAGGAGGCUAGCUGCAGACGCGGGACCGCUCUGGCGGUCGGGCAGGAGGCCGGUGGCAGACGUGGGACCGCUCCAGUGGUCGGGCAGGAGGCUGAUGGCGAAUGCCGGACCACUCCGGUGGUUGGAUAGCAGGCCGGCAGCAGAGGCGGGACCACUCCGGCGGUUGGGCAGGAGGCUAGCUGCAGAGGGGGGACCACUUUGGCGGUUGGGCAGGAGGCCGGUGGCAGAGGUGGGACCGCUCCGGCGGUCGGGCAGGAGGCUGAGAGCAAAACCAGGACCACUCCGGUGGUCGGAUAAGAGGCCGGCGGCAGAGGCGGGACCGCUCCAGCGGUCGAGCAGGAGGCUAACUGCAGAGGCGGGACCACUCCGGCAGUCGAGCAGAAGGCUAGCUGCAGAGGCGGGACCGCUCUGGCAGUCAGGCAGGAGGCUGGCAGCGGAGGAGGAGCCGUGAAGGCGGGACCGUGCCAGCGGGACCACUUUGGUGGUCAGGCAGGAGGCCGACGGCAAAGGCAGGACUGCUCCGGCGGGACUGCUCUGGCCUUUGGGCAGGAGGCCGGCAGCGGAGGAAGGGCCGCGAAGGUUGGACCGUGCCAGUGGGACCACUCCGGAGGUCAGGCAGGAGUCUGAUGGCAAAGGCGGGACCGCUCCGGCGGAUGGCUAGGAGGCCGGCGGCAGAGGCGAGACCGCUCCGGCGUCGGGCAGGAGGCUAGCGGCGAAGGUGGGACUGGUUCGGCCUUCGGGCAGGAGACUGGCAGUGGAGGAGGGGCUGUGAAGGCGGGACCAUGCCAGCGGGACCGCUUUGGCGGUUGAGCAGGAGGCCGGCGGCAGAGGCAGUACCGGCUCCGGCGAUCGGAUAGGAGCCCGGUGGCAGAAGCGGGACCGCCCCAGCAGUUGAGCAGGAGGCUAGCUGCAGAGGCGGGACCACUCCAGCAGUUGGCAGGAGGCUAGCUGCAGAGGCGGGACUGCUCUGGCGGUCGGAAGGAGGCCGACAACAGAGGCGGGACCACUCUGGCGGUCAGGUGGGAGGCUAGCUGCAAAGGCGGGACUGCUCCAGCGGUCAGGCAGGAGGCUAGCUGCAGAGGCGGGACUGCUCUGGCAGUCGGGCAGGAGGCCAGAGGGAGAGGCAGGACCGCUCUGGCAGUCGAGCAAGAGGCCAGCUGCAGAGGCGGGACCGCUCCGGCGGUCAGGCAGGAGGCUAGCUGCAGAGGCAGAAUCGCUUUGGCAGUUGGGCAGGAGGCCGGCGGCAGAGGCGGGACCGCUCCGGCGGUCGGGCAGGAGGCCGACGGCAGAGGCGGGACUGCUCUGGCGGUCGGAUAUGAGGCCGGCGGCAGAGGUGGGACUGCCCUGGCGGUCGAGCAGGAGGCCAGCUGCAGAGGCGGGACCGCUCCGGCGGUCAGGCAGGAGGCUAGCUGCAGAGGUGGAAUCGCUUUGGCAGUUGGGCAGGAGGCCGGCGGCAGAGGCGGGACUGCUCCGGCGGUCGGGCAGGAGGCCGACGGCAGAGGCGGGACCGCUCUGGCGGUCGGAUAUGAGGCCGGCGGCAGAGGUGGGACCGCUCCGGCGGUCGAGCAGGAGGCUAGCUGCAGAGGCGGGACCGCUCUGGCAGUCGGCUGGCAGGGGAGGAGGGGCUGUGAAGGUGGGACCGUGCCAGCGGGACCAAUUUGGUGGUCAGGCAGGAGGCCAAUGGCGAAGGUGGGACCACUCCGGCGGUUGGAUAGGAGGCUGGCGGCAGAAGCGGGACCGCUCCGGCGGUCGAGCAGGAGGCUAGCGGCGAAGGCCGGACUGGUUCGGCAGUCGAGCAGGAGGCUAGCUGCAGAGGCGGGACCGCUCUGGCAGUUGGGCAGGAGGCUGGCAGCGGAGGAGGGGCCGUGAAGGCGGGACCGUGCCAGCGGGACCGCUUUGGCGGUUGAGCAGGAGGCUGGCGGCAGAGGCAGGACCACUCCGGCGAUCGGAUAGGAGGCUGGCGGCAGAGGCGGGACCGUUCCGGCGGUCGAGCAGGAGGCCGACAGCAGAGGUGGGACUGCUCCGGCGCUUGGGCAGGAGGCUUGCUGCAGAGGCAGGACCGCUCUGGCAGUCGGGCAGGAGGCCAGCUGCAGAGGUGGGACUGCUCCAGCGGACGGAUAGGAGGCUGGCGGCAGAGGCGGGACCGCUCCGGCGGUCGAGCAGGAGGCCAGCUGCAGAGGUGGAAUCACUCUGGCAGUCUGGCAGGAGGCCAGUGGCAGAGGCGGGACCGCUCCGGCGGUCGGGCAGGAGGCUGGCAGCGGAGAAGGGGCUGUGAGGGCGAGACUGUGCCAGCGGGACCGCUUUGGUGGUCAGGCAGGAGGCCGACGGCGAAGGCGGGACUGCUCCGGCAGGACUCCUCCAGCCGUGAGGCAGGAGGGCCAACAGCAGAGAAGGGGCCGCGAAGGCGGGACGGUGCCAGCGGGACCACUCCGGAGGUCAGGCAGGAGACCAACGGCUCUCGGCUCCUUCAGCGCUGGAGAGGUGGCUCUCUGCUCCAAAAACAAAAAUUUAAAUCCCGCAGGCAGGCUAGGUGGACUGGGUAACUCCGGGCGGUCGGGCAGGAGACCGGCGGCGGAGGCAGGACCGCUCCAGCGGUCGGACAGGAGGUUGGCAGCAGAGGCAGGACCGUUCCAGCAGUCUUCCCCAGGAUUCGUCAUUAUUGAUGAAAUUUUUU
ensembl:lncRNA